rnacentral:rRNA from 1 species
GACGAAGGGGGCUAGCGUUGUUCGGAGUUACUGGGCGUAAAGGGUGUGUAGGCGGUUGUUUAAGUUUGGUGUGAAAUCUCCCGGCUCAACUGGGAGGGUGCGCCGAAUACUGAAUGACUUCGAGUGCGGGAGAGGAGAGUGGAAUUCCUGGUGUAGCGGUGAAAUGCGUAGAUAUCAGGAGGAACACCGGUGGUGUAGACGGCUCUCUGGACCGUAACUGACGCUGAGACACGAAAGCGUGGGUAGCAAACAGG